GGGCUGGCAAAGUCUCCUGAGGUGGGAGGGCAGUUAGCAUUUUACAGUUGUUAUCACUCUGGUGCAAUGACAUCCUUGUCCACCUAAGCUGCUGAGCUGAAGAGGCCAGGCUGAUGGAAACACAUCGUCUCAGAUGGGCAGGCAGGAAUGGCAUGACCCUGGGGUACUGUACUUGGGUAUUUUAUCACAGCAAUUCGAAUGGAACUAGAACAAGCAACAUCUCUAGAGCAAUACCUCCUCGCCCAGAUCAAUAAGGACUUCUCCCAGAGUGCCUGGUACACAGCUCCAAAAGGGAAAGCGGCCCUGAUGAACUCCACCCUGGCUUUGUACUAGCUCAUGCUAUCUGUUCCUUUUCCUGCCAGUAAUCUAGCCUUCCUAACAGCAGCUCUGGGUUAUUCUUUGGAGAACUACCUUCUCCAUUACUUUCCUAGAUCCCUGUUGUUUGGGUAGAAUUGACCAUACUACCUCCAGUUCAGAAGGCAGAUCAUAAGAUCAAAGCUUGACUUAAAAAUGCCUUUCAUUUUUUUCUGCCACCAGAGGUUUACGGAUGAACACGUAGCCCAAACCAGACUUUGAAGAUUAGCCUUGGGAAUUACACUGCACUGACUGGAAAAAAAUAAAAAACCUUCUCUCG
ensembl:antisense 4930403D09Rik RIKEN cDNA 4930403D09 gene